CCUACGGGUGGCUGCAGUGGGGAAUAUUGCACAAUGGGCGCAAGCCUGAUGCAGCCAUGCCGCGUGUGUGAGGAAUGCCUUCGGGUUGUAAAGCACUUUCAGCGGGGAGGAAGGCGUUAAGGUUAAUAACCUUGUCGAUUGACGUUACCCGCAGAAGAAGCACCGGCUAACUCCGCGCCAGCAGCCGCGGUAAUACGGAGGGUGCAAGCGUUAAUCGGAAUUACUGGGCGUAAAGCGCACGCAGGCGGUCUGUCAAGUCGGAUGUGAAAUCCCCGGGCUCAACCUGGGAACUGCAUUCGAAACUGGCAGGCUAGAGUCUUGUAGAGGGGGGUAGAAUUCCAGGUGUAGCGGUGAAAUGCGUAGAGAUCUGGAGGAAUACCGGUGGCGAAGGCGGCCCCCUGGACAAAGACUGACGCUCAGGUGCGAAAGCGUGGGGAGCAAACAGGAUUAGAUACCCCUGUAGUC
rnacentral:rRNA from 1 species